CACUGAGAAGCUAAACCGGAUCAAAGCGUUAGCCUUUUAAGCUAAAGAUUGGUGGCUACCAACCACCCUUAGUGU
rnacentral:tRNA from 1 species